rnacentral:lncRNA from 1 species
UUGCAGAGCAAUAAAAGUACAUUCGGUGGAGGCCAGAGAUGUGCACGGACCAACUUUGAGAGCACAAAAGCAUCUGCUUUAUUAGAUUUAGCUCAUCUAUGCUGCUCACCGUCAUUUGGGGUUUGUUUAAAUAAUUUUUUGAGAACGCUUAGAAAAAUCGCUCGCAAUUUCCAUGCUGAGUACCACUCCUCGGCCGGCGGGGUAACUCUCCCAGCCGACAAAUUCUUUCAGUCUUCCUCGCUCCCUGCGCAGGAAAGACCCCGCGGAGGGUCGGGAGGGUCGCCGGGCUGUUCCCCCUCCCUGCGCGCUCAGCCCGAGCCGCGCCCUACAAAGCGCUGCGCGGCCGGAGCAGGCACGGAGGAAUAUCGAAGAGCACCGCGCAGGUACCGCCCGGCCCCGCCCCGCCGGCCGCCUCCGCGUUCCGCGCCGCGCGAGCGGCAGGGGGCGCGCGGUCCGCACCGAUCCUCCCUACGGCCCCGCCGGGGCGAGGGGCCACCCCGCUGCACGGCCCCGCGCCGCUUCCCCGUCCCGAAACGUCCGUCCGUCCGUCCCGUCCCACCGCGGAGCUGCGGCGGGCGGUACUCACCGCGCGGGUCGCCCUCCCCUCGACGCGGAGCCGCCGCGGCGCCAGGACGCACUGGGGCUCCCUCGGUGGCGGCAUGGGGGGCCGCGGACGGGCGUUCGGGGGCGGCGUCCCUCGAGAAAGUUGCCGGAGAUGCUCGGGCGCCGCUCGGAGCGAAGCGGGCGGGAGCCGGCGCCGGUCCCCGGCACUUGUCGGCGUUAAAGUUUGGCGGUGCGCGGCGGCGGGCGGCGAGCGUCUGCGGGGCGGACGGGCAGCGGGGCGGGCGGGCUGCAGCCCAGCUCCGGCUGUCGGGGCGGCGGGCGGAGCGCGCAGAGCAUCGCCCCGGGAGCCGCCGAGGUGCAGCCCGGCGGGGCUCCCCGCCCGCCACCGCCGCUCAGGGCGGGGGUGUCCCCGCUCCGGGCGCCGGCGGCCGCGGCAUGGAGCGCUGGGGCGAGCAGCGGGCGGGGCGCGCCUGGCCGGAGCCGGGGCGCGGAUCUCCGCCGUGCGCCGCCCCGGUGUGGCCAAACUUCGGGCGGCGGCGGCGUCUCCUCACUUCGGAGCGACCUCCCCGCGACUGCCGGCGAGCGGGGCGGCGGCGCCAGCCUACCCCUCCUCCGGGCCGCCGCCGCGCGGCCCUAGCGCCGCCGCCGCGCCGCCCCCCUCCGCCGCGCUCCCCGCCCCGCCGCCCCCGCGGAGCGCCCGCCGCCGCGGGAGAGCCGGCACCGCCUGCCCCGCGGGUGGUUCCCGUUCCGCUCGGCCACGCGGCCGCCGGGAGACGGACCGCGCUACUGCGCUCCCGCAGGAGCUGCCUUAAUUCUCUGUCUUUUCGGUUUCGGCCUCACAACGCAAACACGGAGAGCACCGCCGGUGGUUCUGCCGUCCGAAAGCGAAGCCGGGCGGGCUGA